AUGGGGCUAGGAGAGGAUAGAAGGGACAUAAGAGAGCCAGAGGAUAUUGUGAAAGAGAGAAGAAAUAAGGGCAGAAGGCUAUUUGAAGAAGGGAAGGGUACAGAGAAGGCGGUGUGGGGUUAGCGAGAAGAAUGGGCCUAGAAGGAGGAAGAAGGAGGAGGAGGAGAAGAUGGUGAAGGGGCUGCUUGGAGUCCUGAGGACUUGGAUUCAAAUCCUGUGUCAGUCAGUCCCUAGCUGCCUUAACUUCAUCAAAUGACUUAACUGUGCCCCAGUUCGGUCAUCUGUAAAGGGUGAGGGUUGAGCCCGGGCGCUACGAAGGUCCCCCCUCCCGCUCUACCUGUGCGAUCCUAUGAAGAUGGGGGCUUGGAGCAGGCACCGGUCUUUUGCGGCAGUAUCGGGGAGGAAGAGGGAGCACCGGAGAGACCUGGGUGUGAAGCCCACCUCCCACGCAGACCCGCUGUGUGACCCCUCCGCAAGUCCGAUGAUUUCUCUGAGCCUUAGUUGGCUCAUCUGUAAAGUGGAGCUAGCUAGAGAUAACAGCUUGGCACAGUGACUUGAGAUCAAGCCUCGCGGUCAGGAACACUGAAGUUCCAAUCCUUUUUCUGACACAUGCACUGUCUAGGUGGCCUGGGACAAGUCCCUUGACCUCUGAUUUGGGAAGAAAGGAAGGAAGGAUG